rnacentral:rRNA from 1 species
GAUGAACGCUAGCUACAGGCUUAACACAUGCAAGUCGAGGGGAAACGACAUCGAAAGCUUGCUUUUGAUGGGCGUCGACCGGCGCACGGGUGAGUAACGCGUAUCCAACCUGCCCAUCACUUGGGAAUAACCUUGCGAAAGUAAGACUAAUACCCAAUGAUAUCCCACGAAGGCAUCGGAAUGGGAUUAAAGAUUUAUCGGUGAUGGAUGGGGAUGCAUCUGAUUAGCUUGUUGGCGGGGUAACGGCCCACCAAGGCAACGAUCAGUAGGGGUUCUGAGAGGAAGGUCCCCCACAUUGGAACUGAGACACGGUCCAAACUCCUACGGGAGGCAGCAGUGAGGAAUAUUGGUCAAUGGGCGAGAGCCUGAACCAGCCAAGUAGCGUGCAGGAAGACGGCCCUAUGGGUUGUAAACUGCUUUUAUAAGGGAAUAAAGUGGGUCACGUGUGACUUUUUGCAUGUACCUUAUGAAUAAGGACCGGCUAAUUCCGUG